rnacentral:rRNA from 1 species
AAUUUUUGACAAUGGGGGAAACCCUGAUCCAGCCAUCCCGCGUGUAUGAUGAAGGCCUUCGGGCUGUAAAGUACUUUUGGCCGAGAAGAAAAGGUAUCUACUACUACGAUAUACUGCUGACGGUAUCUGCAGAAUACGUACCGGCUAACUACGUGCCAGCAUCCGCGGUAAUACGUAGGGUGCAAGCGUUAAUCGGAAUUACUGGGCGUAAAGCGUGUGUAGGCGGUUCGGAAAGAACGAUGUGAAAUCCCAGGGCUCAACCUUGGAACUGCAUUUUUAACUGCCGAGCUAGAGUAUGUCAGAGGGGGGUAGAAUUCCACGUGUAGCAGUGAAAUGCGUAGAUAUGUGGAGGAAUACCGAUGGCGAAGGCAGCCCCCUGGGAUAAUACUGACGCUCAGACACGAAAGCGUGGGGAGCAAAC